CAGUAGCCGCGGUAAAACGUAGGGUGCAAGCGUUAAUCGGAAUUACUGGGCGUAAAGCGUGCGCAGGCGGUUGUGUAAGACAGGUGUGAAAUCCCCGGGCUUAACCUGGGAAUUGCAUUUGUGACUGCACGACUAGAGUGUGUCAGAGGGGGGUGGAAUUCCACGUGUAGCAGUGAAAUGCGUAGAUAUGUGGAGGAACACCAAUGGCGAAGGCAGCCCCCUGGGAUAACACUGACGCUCAUGCACGAAAGCGUGGGGAGCAAACAGGAUUAGAUACCCCUGUAGUCCCUGUCUCUUAUAC
rnacentral:rRNA from 1 species